CGUUCCAGGACACGAAGGUAUCUAUCUUCAUGCCUUCCCCAUGUGCCCAGUCCCCCACCAGAUGCUGUUAGCCUUUUGGCCCCCCUGAUUUGCUGCACUGCUGCGCCCUGAUCCUUGCAGAGGGGUAAGUGACACCUUUGUCCCUUCGGGAAAGCAAUCUCCACUUUCCUCUCGUUGGUCAAGGGCAGCACUGUCCCUCUCCCGCCAGGCUCUCAUUGGUCAACGGCCGCGCCGUCCCGCCCUCUUCAGCCGGUGAUUGGUCAGCGGCAGCUCUGUCCUGCCCUCGUCAGCCUGUGAUUGGUCAACGGCCGCGCCGUCCCGCCCUCUUCAGCCAGUGAUUGGUCAGCGGCAGCGCUGUCCCGCCCUCGUCAGCCUGUGAUUGGUCACCGGCCGCGCCGUCCCGCCCUCUUCAGCCAGUGAUUGGUCAGCGGCAGCGCUGUCCCGCCCUCGUCAGCCUGUGAUUGGUCACGGGCCGCGCCGUCCCGCCCUCUUCAGCCAGUGAUUGGUCAGCGGCAGCGCUGUCCCGCCCUCGUCAGCCUGUGAUUGGUCACCGGUCGCGCCGCCCCUCCCUCGUCAGCCUCUCAUUGGUCAUCGGCAGCUUUGUCCCGCCCUCGCCCGCCUGUGAUUGGUCAUCGGCAGCGCCGUCCCGCCCUCGCCUGUAAGUGAUUGGUCAUCGGCAGCGCAGUCCCGCCUCCGCCAGCCUCUCAUUGGUUCUCGGCACCGCCGUCCCGCCUCCGCCAGCCUCUCAUUGGUCAGCAGCAGCGCCGUCCCGCCUCCGUCAUUCUCUCAUUGGUCAGCGGCAGCGCCGUCCCGCCUCCGCCAGCCUCUCAUUGGUCAGCGGCAGCGCCAUCCCGCCCUCGUCAGCCUGUGAUUGGUCACAGGCAGCGCCGUCCCGCCUUCGCCUGCCUGUGAUUGGUCAUCGGCAGCGCAGUCCCGCCUCCGCCAGCCUCUCAUUGGUUCUCGGCAACGCCGUCCCGCCUCCGCCAGCCUCUCAUUGGUCAGCAGCAGCGCCGUCCCGCCUCCGUCAUUCUCUCAUUGGUCAGCGGCAGCGCCGUCCCGCCUCCGCCAGCCUCUCAUUGGUCAGCGGCAGCGCCAUCCCGCCCUCGUCAGCCUGUGAUUGGUCACAGGCAGCGCCGUCCCGCCUUCGCCUGCCUGUGAUUGGUCAUCGGCAGCUCCGUCCCGCCUCCGCCCGUAUCUCAUUGGUCAGCAGCAGCCUUUUCCCCGCCUUUUCCCCGCCUUUUUCUUUGCUUUCUCUCUCCUUUCUUCCCCCUCAUCCUGUGUCAGAAGUGACUGAAGGAAUGAUGGACAAGCUGGUGCAGGAUGGCAGCAGCAGGGUGGAGGCACAGGUGAGUGCGAUGAAGCCGGGGGUGGGACUGGGUGGAGCCAGAGCCCAGCCUGAGCUCAUUUAAGGGCUGGGAAUCGCAGGGCUCAGAUGUGUGCCUGGGCUUCUGGUGUCAGUGAGGUUGGGUGAGCAGUGAGGUUUGGGGGAACCGAGUUGUUGGCCUUGAGAUUGAUGCCCAGCUCCUUGCUCGUCGCAUUCUGUUGGGCUCGAGGUUCCGGACACGGGUUGCUCUUCUAAGCAGUGGGAGGACUGCGAGAAAGACUUUGUUGGAUGCAGCAGGAAAGCACAGCCGCUGGUGGAUGCCAGUGUCCGCUCCUGAGGCUCUGCGCCAAGGUACGUGGAUCCCCGCCGUCUCCUGUUUCACACGCUCGCUCAGGUCCUCGGGCUUGGUGUCGGUUGUCCCUCGUGCUCACGUUGCUUUCACCGAGUGUUCUUCCUCUCCCCAUGCCCGGCUCUGCCCAGUGCUGAUGGGAUGUCAGUGCCCCCUGCUGCUCUCAAUCAAAGGUAGGUUCAAUUCCUGUUGUCUUCCAUAGCAUUUGCUACACUUUUAUUCUGUCUCUCUUCUCUUUUUGCCAUGUUGCCUGUUGGCACCUCGCUGGAGUUCCCAGGACGCCAGUGCCCGCUUUUGACCAAGUGAGAUGCAACAGAAGAGGUAGGCUCCUAAGGAGGCUUCUGCUGAGUGCUGUCCUUGACUCAGGCUUUGUACAAUGACCAGCCUUUGUUGCUAAGCCACGUUGUUGAGCACCGCGUGUGAAGCUUUCUUCUUUCUUUCUUUCUUUCUAGGCUUGGCGACUCCUCCACCAGAUGCAGCAUCAUUUUGGGCUGCCCAAGCUUCUGCAGUGAACGUGUCUCGUUCCUGGUAAAGGUGUGGGCGUUCCUGGAUGCGCCCAGUCCCCCGGAUCCCUGACGUCUCCUGUUUCACACGCUCGCUGAGGUCCUUUGGGGCUUGGUGUCGGUUGUCCCUCGUGCUCACGUUGCUUUCACCGGGUGUUCUUCCUUUCCCCAUGCUCAGUUCUGCCCAGUGCUGAUGGGGUGUCAGUGCCCCCUGCUGCUCUCAAUCAAAGGUAGGUUCGAUUCUUGGUGUCUUCCAUAGCAUUUGCUACACUUUUAUUCUGUCUCUCUUCUCUUUUUGCCAUGUUGCCUGUUGGCGCCUCGCUGGAGUUCCCAGGACGCCAGUGCCCGCUUUUGACCAAGUGAGAUGCAACAGAAGAGGUAGGCUCCUAAGGAGGCUUCUGCUGAGUGCUGUCCUUGACUCAGGCUUUGUACAAUGACCGGCCUUUGUUGCUAAGUCACGUUGUUGAGCACCGCGUGUGAAGCUUUCUUCUUUCUUUCUUUCUAGGCUUGGCGACUCCUCCACCAGAUGCAGCAUCAUUUUGGGCUGCCCAAGCUUCUGCAGUGAACGUGUCCCGUUUGUGGUAAAGGUGUGGGCGUUCCUGGAUGCGCCCAGUCCCCCGGAUCCCUGACGUCUCCUGUUUCACACGCUCGCUGAGGUCCUUUGGGGCUUGGUGUCGGUUGUCCCUCGUGCUCACGUUGCUUUCACCGGGUGUUCUUCCUCUCCCCAUGCUCAGUUCUGCCCAGUGCUGAUGGGUUGUCAGUGCCACCUGCUGCUCUUAAGAAAAGGUAGGUUUGAUUUCUUUUGGUUUCCAGAGCAUUUGCUACACUUUCAUUCUGUCUCUCUUCUUUUUUUUUCUUUUUGCUCUGAAUAAAUGGCAGGUUCAAUUCAUUUUGGCUUCUGUAGUAUUUGCUUCACUUGUGUUCUGUUUCUCUUCUCUUUUUUCCAUGUUGCCUGGCGGUGCCUCGCUGGAGUUCCCAUGACCCCCGGGCACACUUGUGACCAAGUGAGGUGCCAAAAGAAGAGGUAUCUCCUAAACAGGCUUCUGCUGAGUGCUGUCCUCGUUUUGGGGAUUGGCGACUCCACCACCAGACGUAGCAGGCGUUUUGGGGCGUCCAAGGUUCCGCAGUGAGCGUGUCCUGUUCCUGGUCAAGGUGUGGGCGUUCCAGGACAUAAAGGUAUCUUCAUGCUUUCCCCAAGUGCCAAGUACCCCGCCAGAUGCUGUUUGCCUUUUGGCACCCCCUCAGUUGCUGUAAUGUCUGCGCCUUGAUUCUUGGAGAGGGGUAAGUGACACCUUUGAAAUCAAGCGAUAUUUUAGGUUAAAAACAGGGAUUUCUAUGAAAAUAAGUGAUAUUUCAGGGGAAAAACAGGGAUUUCUAUGAAAAUAAGCGAUAUUGAAGGGGAAAAACAGGGAUUUCUUUGAAAACAAGCUAUACUGAAGGGGAAAAACAGGGAUUUCUUUGAAAACAAGCUAUAUUUCAGGAUAAAAACAGGGAUUUCUAUGAAAAUAAGCGAUGUUUGAGGAUAAAAACUGGGAUUUCUGAGAAAGUAAGCGAUAUUUCAGGGGAAAAACAGGGAUUUCUAUGAAAAUAAGCGAUAUUUCAGGGAAGAAACAGGGAUUUCUAUGAAAAUAAGCGAUAUUUAAGGGAAGAAACAGGGAUUUCUAUGAAAAUAAGCGAUAUUUAAGGUUAAAAACAGGGAUUUCUUGGAAUAUAAGCAAAAAUUUAGAGGAGCAAAGAUGUCAGUGCCACCUGCUGCUUUCAAUAACUGGCAGGUUCAAUUCAUUUUGGCUUCUGUACUAUUUGCUACACUUGUGUUCUGUUUCUCUUCUCUUUUUUCCAUGUUGCCUAGCGGUGCCUCGCUGGAGUUCCCAUGACACCCAGGCACACUUGUGACCAAGUGAGGUGCCAAAAGAAGAGGUGUCUCCUAAACAGUCUUCUGCUGAGUGCUGUCCUCGUCUUGGGGAUUGGCGACUCCACCAGCAGACGUAGCAGGCAUUUUGGGACGUCCAAGGUUCCGCAGUUAGCGUGUCCUGUUCCUGGUAAUGGUGUGGGCGUUCCAGGACACGAAGGUAUCUAUCUUCAUGCCUUCCCCAUGUGCCCAGUCCCCCACCAGAUGCUGUUAGCCUUUUGGCCCCCCUGAUUUGCUGCACUGCUGCGCCCUGAUCCUUGCAGAGGGGUAAGUGACACCUUUGUCCCUUCGGGAAAGCGAUCUCCACUUUCCUCUCGUUGGUCAAGGACAGCACUGUCCCUCUCCCGCCAGGCUCUCAUUGGUCACCGGCCGCGCCGUCCCGCCCUCUUCAGCCGGUGAUUGGUCAGCGGCAGCGCUGUCCUGCCCUCGUCAGCCUGUGAUUGGUCACCGGUCGCGCCGUCCCGCCCUCUUCAGCCAGUGAUUGGUCAGCGGCAGCGCUGUCCCGCCCUCGUCAGCCUGUGAUUGGUCACCGGCCGCGCCGUCCCGCCCUCUUCAGCCAGUGAUUGGUCAUCGGCAGCGCUGUCCCGCCCUCGUCAGCCUGUGAUUGGUCACCGGUCGCGCCGUCCCGCCCUCGUCAGCCUCUCAUUGGUCAUCGGCAGCGCCGUCCUGCCUCCGUCAUUCUCUCAUUGGUUCUCGGCAACGCCGUCCCGCCUCCGCCAGCCUCUCAUUGGUCAGCAGCAGCGCCGUCCCGCCUCCGUCAUUCUCUCAUUGGUCAGCGGCAGCGCCGUCCCGCCUCCGCCAGCCUCUCAUUGGUCAGCGGCAGCGCCAUCCCGCCCUCGUCAGCCUGUGAUUGGUCACAGGCAGCGCCGUCCCGCCUUCGCCUGCCUGUGAUUGGUCAUCGGCAGCUCCGUCCCGCCUCCGCCAGUAUCUCAUUGGUCAGCAGCAGCCUUUUCCCCGCCUUUUCCCCGCCUUUUUCUUUGCUUUCUCUCUCCUUUAUUCCCCCUCAUCCUGUGUCAUAAGUGACUGAAGGAAUGAUGGACAAGCUGGUGCAGGAUGGCAGCAGCAGGGUGGAGGCACAGGUGGGUGCGAUGAAGCCGGGGGUGGGACUGGGUGGAGCCAGAGCCCCGCCUGAGCUCAUUUAAGGGCUGGGAAUCGCAGGGCUCAGAUGUGUGCCUGGGCUUCUGGUGUCAGUGAGGUUAAGUGAGCAGUGAGGUUUGGGGGAACCGAGUUGUUGGCCUUGAGAUUGAUGCCCAGCUCCUUGCUCGUCGCAUUCUGUUGGGCUCGAGGUUCCGGACACAGGUUGCUCUUCUAAGCAGUGGGAGGACUGCGAGAAAGACUUUGUUGGAUGCAGCAGGAAAGCACAGCCGCUGGUGGAUGCCAGUGUCCGCUCCUGAGGCUCUGCGCCAAGGUACGUGGAUCCCCGCCGUCUCCUGUUUCACACGCUCGCUCAGGUCCUCGGGCUUGGUGUCGGUUGUCCCUCGUGCUCACGUUGCUUUCACCGAGUGUUCUUCCUCUCCCCAUGCCCGGCUCUGCCCAGUGCUGAUGGGAUGUCAGUGCCCCCUGCUGCUCUCAAUCAAAGGUAGGUUCAAUUCCUGUUGUCUUCCAUAGCAUUUGCUACACUUUUAUUCUGUCUCUCUUCUCUUUUUGCCAUGUUGCCUGUUGGCGCCUCGCUGGAGUUCCCAGGACGCCAGUGCCCGCUUUUGACCAAGUGAGAUGCAACGGAAGAGGCUUGGCGACUCCUCCACCAGAUGCAGCAUCAUUUUGGGCUGCCCAAGCUUCUGCAGUGAACGUGUCCCGUUUGUGGUAAAGGUGUGGGCGUUCCUGGAUGCGCCCAGUCCCCCGGAUCCCUGACGUCUCCUGUUUCACACGCUCGCUGAGGUCCUUUGGGGCUUGGUGUCGGUUGUCCCUUGUGCUCACGUUGCUUUCACCGGGUGUUCUUCCUCUCCCCAUGCUCAGUUCUGCCCAGUGCUGAUGGGUUGUCAGUGCCACCUGCUGCUCUUAAGAAAAGGUAGGUUUGAUUUCUUUUGGUUUCCAGAGCAUUUGCUACACUUUCAUUCUGUCUCUCUUCUUUUUUUUUUCUUUUUGCUCUGAAUAAAUGGCAGGUUCAAUUCAUUUUGGCUUCUGUAGUAUUUGCUUCACUUGUGUUCUGUUUCUCUUCUCUUUUUUCCAUGUUGCCUGGCGGUGCCUCGCUGGAGUUCCCAUGACCCCCGGGCACACUUGUGACCAAGUGAGGUGCCAAAAGAAGAGGUAUCUCCUAAACAGGCUUCUGCUGAGUGCUGUCCUCGUUUUGGGGAUUGGCGACUCCACCACCAGACGUAGCAGGCGUUUUGGGGCGUCCAAGGUUCCGCAGUGAGCGUGUCCUGUUCCUGGUCAAGGUGUGGGCGUUCCAGGACAUAAAGGUAUCUUCAUGCUUUCCCCAAGUGCCAAGUACCCCGCCAGAUGCUGUUUGCCUUUUGGCACCCCCUCAGUUGCUGUAAUGUCUGCGCCUUGAUUCUUGGAGAGGGGUAAGUGACACCUUUGAAAUCAAGUGAUAUUUUAGGCUAAAAACGGGGAUUUCUAUGAAAAUAAGCGAUAUUUCAGGGAAGAAACAGGGAUUUCUAUGAAAAUAAGUGAUAUUUCAGGGGAAAAACAGGGAUUUCUAUGAAAAUAAGCGAUAUUUAAGGUUAAAAACCGGGAUUUCUUUGAAAACAAGCUAUAUUUCAGGAUAAAAACAGGGAUUUCUAUGAUAAUAAGCGAUGUUUGAGGAUAAAAACUGGGAUUUCUGAGAAAGUAAGCGAUCUUUCAGGGGAAAAAACAGGGAUUUCUAUGAAAAUAAGCGAUAUUUAAGGUUAAAAACAGGGAUUUCUUGGAAUAUAAGCAAAAAUGUAGAGGAGCAAAGAUGUCAGUGCCACCUGCUGCUUUCAAUAACUGGCAGGUUCAAUUCAUUUUGGCUUCUGUAGUAUUUGCUUCACUUGUGUUCUGUUUCUCUUCUCUUUUUUCCAUGUUGCCUGGCGGUGCCUCGCUGGAGUUCCCAUGACCCCCGGGCACACUUGUGACCAAGUGAGGUGCCAAAAGAAGAGGUGUCUCCUAAACAGGUUUCUGCUGAGUGCUGUCCUCGUCUUGGGGAUUGGCGACUCCACCAGCAGACGUAGCAGGCAUUUUGGGACGUCCAAGGUUCCGCAGUGAGCGUGUCCUGUUCCUGGUAAUGGUGUGGGCGUUCCAGGACACGAAGGUAUCUAUCUUCAUGCCUUCCCCAUGUGCCCAGUCCUCCACCAGAUGCUGUUAGCCUUUUGGCCCCCCUGAUUUGCUGCACUGCUGCGCCCUGAUCCUUGCAGAGGGGUAAGUGACACCUUUGUCCCUUCCGGAAAGCGCUCUCCACUUUACUCUCGUUGGUCAAGGGCAGCACUGUCCCUCUCCCGCCACGCUCUCAUUGGUCUCCGGCUCUGCCGUCCCGCCCUCAUGUGCUUCUCAUUGGUGAUCGACAGCGCCGUCCCGCCCUCGUCAGCCUGUGAUUGCUCACAGGCAGCGCUGUCCCGCAUUCGCCCGCCUGUGAUUGGUCAUCGGCAGCGCCGUCCCGCCCUCGUCAUCCUGUGAUUGGUCACAGGCAGCGCCGUUCCGCCCUCGCCUGCCUGUGAUUUGUUAUAGGCAGCGCCGUCCCGUCCUCGCCAGCCUGUGAUUGGUCAUCGGCAGCGCCGUCCCGCCCUCAUGUGCGUCUCACUGCUAAUCGACAGUGCCGUUCCGCCCUCAUCAGCCUCUCAUUGGUCAUUGGCAGCGCCGUCCCGCCCCUGCAGCCUAUCAUUGGUCAGCGGCAGGGCGGUCCCGCCCCUGUCUGCCUCUCAUUGGUCACCGGCAGCUGUCCCGCCCUCGCCAGUCUUUCAUUGGUCAUCGGCAGCUCCGUCCCGCCUCCGCCAGCAUCUCAUUGGUCAGCAGCAGCCUUUUCCCCGCCUUUUCCCCGCCUUUUUCUUUGCUCUCUCUCUCCAUUCUUUCCCCUCAUCCUGUUACAGAAGAGACUGAAGGAAUGAUGGACAAGCUUGUGCAGGAUGGCAGUAGCAGGGUGGAGGCACAGGUGGGUGCGAUGAAGCCGGGGGUGGGACUGGGUGGAGCCAGAGCCCAGCCUGAGCUCAUUUAAGGGCUGGGAAUCGCAGGGCUCAGAUGUGUGCCUGGGCUUCUGGUGUCUGGUGUCAGGCUGAGCAGUGAGGUUUGGGGGAACCGAGUUGUUGGCCUUGAGAUUGAUGCCCAGCUCCUUGCUCGUCGCAUUCUGUUGGGCUCGAGGUUCCGGACGUGGGUUGCUCUUCUAAGCAGUGGGAGGACUGCGAGGAAGACUUUGUUGGAUGCAGCAGGAAAGCACAGCCGCUGGUGGAUGCCAGUGUCCGCUCCUGAGGCUCUGCGCCAAGGUACGUGGAUCCCCGCCGUCUCCUGUUUCACACGCUCGCUGAGGUCCUCGGGCUUGGUGUCGGUUGUCCCUCGUGCUCACGUUGCUUUCACCGGGUGUUUUUCCUCUCCCCAUGCCCGGCUCUGCCCAGUGCUGAUGGGGUGUCAGUGCCCCCUGCUGCUCUCAAUCAAAGGUAGGUUCGAUUCCUGUUGUCUUCCAUAGCAUUUGCUACACUUUUAUUCUGUCUCUCUUCUCUUUUUGCCAUGUUGCCUGUUGGCGCCUCGCUGGAGUUCCCAGGACGCCAGUGCCCGCUUUUGACCAAGUGAGAUGCAACAGAAGAGGUAGGCUCCUAAGGAGGCUUCUGCUGAGUGCUGUCCUUGACUCGGGCUUUGUACAAUGACCAGCCUUUGUUGCUAAGUCACGUUGUUGAGCACCGCGUGUGAAGCUUUCUUCUUUCUUUCUUUCUAGGCUUGGCGACUCCUCCACCAGAUGCAGCAUCAUUUUGGGCUGCCCAAGCUUCUGCAGUGAACGUGUCCCGUUUGUGGUAAAGGUGUGGGCGUUCCUGGAUGCGCCCAGUCCCCCGGAUCCCUGACGUCUCCUGUUUCACACGCUCGCUGAGGUCCUUUGGGGCUUGGUGUCGGUUGUCCCUUGUGCUCACGUUGCUUUCACCGGGUGUUCUUCCUCUCCCCAUGCUCAGUUCUGCCCAGUGCUGAUGGGUUGUCAGUGCCACCUGCUGCUCUUAAGAAAAGGUAGGUUUGAUUUCUUUUGGUUUCCAGAGCAUUUGCUACACUUUCAUUCUGUCUCUCUUCUUUUUUUUUUUCUUCUUGCUCUGAAUAAAUGGCAGGUUCAUUUCAUUUUGGCUUCUGUAGUAUUUGCUUCACUUGUGUUCUGUUUCUCUUCUCUUUUUUCCAUGUUGCCUGGCGGUGCCUCGCUGGAGUUCCCAUGACCCCCGGGCACACUUGUGACCAAGUGAGGUGCCAAAAGAAGAGGUAUCUCCUAAACAGGCUUCUGCUGAGUGCUGUCCUCGUCUUGGGGUUUGUACAAUGCCCACCUUUCUUCUCUAAUCCACUUUGUUGAGGACCACGUGUGAGGCUUUCUUCUUUCUUGGUAGGAUUGGCGACUCCUCCACCAGACGUAGCAGGCAUUUUGGGACGUCCAAGGUUCCGCAGUGAGCGUGUCCUGUUCCUGGUCAAGGUGCGGGCGUUCCAGGACAUAAAGGUAUCUUCAUGCUUUCCCCAUGUGCCAAGUACCCCGCCAGAUGCUGUUUGCCUUUUGGCACCCCCUCAGUUGCUGUGAUGUCUGCGCCUUGAUUCUUGGAGCGGGGUUUCCAUACUGAGCCAUGGCUGCUAUUAAGGACAGUAAUAGCAGAGCCGGAGCCAGUCAAGCGUCCUCCAUCUCACCGAGGUCAAGGUGCGCACGGCGAGGAAGUCAUACGG